GAUCUGGUGGCUUAGUGGUUGAAGCGUCCGCCUAGGAUGCGGUAGGGCGUGGUUCGAUUCAAGGCCAAAUUA